rnacentral:misc_RNA from 1 species
CCCAACUAUCCCUAUUAAUCAUUACGUCGAUCCUAGAAACCAACAAAAUAGAAUCAAACGUCCUAUUUCAUUAUUCCAUGCUAAUGUAUUCAAGCGUAUGCCUGCUUUAAACACUCUAAUUUUUUCAAAGUAACAGUCCUGAUUCCCCAAGACACCAAAUUAAUGACAUCAUGGUUCGUCAGAAAGGAGAAACCAAUGAUACCAGUACAUACCAAGGCACGACCGAUAUAUUGAUCCCGAAAUUCAAUUACGAGCUUUUUAACUGCAACAACUUUAAUAUACGCUAUUGGAGCUGGAAUUACUGCGGCUGCUGGCACCAGACUUGCCCUCCAA